CCCUUCUUUUUUUUCUCAUUUACCCUUUUCUUUUUUCUUCCUUAUUUAUUGCAUUUACCUUUGUCUUCUGCCUUUCUUUUUUGCAAAACCUUCAUCUACAAAGUCUCCAUCAUCAUCAUCUUCAUAUAAGCGAAUACACAAAGGUCUAGGAAACUGCAUCACAGCUCCAAAGAAGACAAAUAUGUUCAAAGUUCCAUAAGUUAUCACAAUUAAAUGUUAAAGUUCUUUUUAUCGGUUUACUAAAGUUUUCCUUGUAUAUGAUUUUUUUCCGUUUUUUAUCCAGGCCAAAAGAAAGUCCAACGGUGUCCCUUUUUUGACACACUUUGAGAUGUGUCUAGUGCGUAUCCAGAUGUAUCGGUGGCGUAUCCGUGUCAGAUACCAGUAUGACAUUGAUAUGAAAGGGUUUUUUACGUAUCGAUGCUUCAUAGCUAGCUGGUUUAAUGGUUUACAGCUGACUUGUAUACUUAAUUUUAUUUCUAUCAAUAAAAUAUGGCGUUUCAAUUUUUAUAAUUUACACAUUAAAUAAAAUAAUUGAAAUAAUAAAAUCCUUUUGAAAUAAUUAAUUAAUUAAUAUUGAAUAUAUAAUAGGCCCAUUUCACCCGGGCCCAUUAGAAUAAACAAAAAAUAAAAAACUUCAAAAAUAAUAAAAGUCCAUUGGUCCAAAAAAAGGUCCAUUAGUCUAGUUACAUAAAAUAACCACCCAACCCAAUUACGAAAAUAACUUAUGACCCAAUAAGCCCUAAAACCUGAGGCCCAAUACCCCCAAAAAUUAUCUCAGCAUCCUGAGAAUGCCAAAAGCUUUUGGAGUAAGCCAGAAGGGCACCAGAAGGUCAGCCUCUCGCGAGAAAUUGCCACGCUCGGUCUCCACGUCACCAGGGUCGUUCCUCUGUACGGACGUUCCUGCAAAAAACACACGAGAAGAGAGAUAACCGAAUUCACAAAAGAUGACGGCAAUGAAAAUGUAAUUUUGUUUUUUUACUUUAUUCUGUAAAUCCGGCUAUAAAAGCCGUUGAAUGUACUCCAAAAAGGGAACCUACGCUCACUGUAUCUAUAACACGCACAGAGAAUAGAGAAAAAGCAAUUUAAGAUUAGCAAAGGUGAUUUCAAGUUUUCUUUUGUCCUCUCUUAUGAUUUUUUUAGUUUUUUUUUCAUUUGGUUCGGAUUUUUUUUAGUAUGUGAGUCGAUCCCAAUGAAAGCCCGAAUACUUCAGAAAUACUGAGGCAAAGGCGAGGGAACAAAUAGUUUUGAAUCUUUGCUUUAUGAACCUAUCUUCGUUUUUUUUUUUAAAAUAAUGUGAGAUUUGAAGUUUUUUUUUUUAAAUAAAAAAGGGAGGAAGAAAAUACUUACUAAAUCUCUCUAGGCAUGGUCGAGCGCCUUCAACGGGGAUGAUGGGUACUGUUUGCGUACUGUUGAUCACCAAAAUAAUGGUGGUUCGGCUGCUAGCAAAAGAAACCCUAGAAUUUUGAUUUCAAGGCUGUGAUUUUCGGCCAAAAAUGGGGCUGCGUUUGAAAAGGGAAAUGGGGAAAGAAAGGUUUUAAGUAACCUUUUAACAAAACGGUGUCGUUUGUAAUAUUGAGAAAGGUCCGCGCGGUGACUCAUUUGGCAGGCCCAAUCUGCGCAUUACCACUCAAAAUGGGGAAUUUGCGCAAAAAAUCCUUCCCCUUGCGCACAGCCUUCAAUUUGCGCCCAAUUUGCCUACCUUAUGUUUUAAAAUUUGGCCUUCUAAUUUGUGCGUUGUUUCACUUUGAUCCGCGGUUCAUUGCAGCAUUGUGGGCGCGAGAUAUUUACAAUUUCAGUCCCCAUACAUUUAUGCGCUUUGAGAAUUGGUCCAUGUUAUGAUUACUUUAUUUCCAAAUUAUCCUCCCUAUUUUAUUGUAGUAUUAAUUUGGUCUUAUAGUUGUAUAAUCGGUUAAUUUAAAAUAUAUUUAAUAUGUUU
rnacentral:lncRNA from 1 species